rnacentral:tRNA from 1 species
GCCCGGGUGGCGGAAUUGGCAGACGCAAGGGACUUAAAAUCCCUCGAUCCUAGAUCGUACCGGUUCGAUCCCGGUCCCGGGCACCA